CCAUAGUUUUAAACAUUCUGAAAAACACAUAAUACCGAGAUGGUUAUGAUAGUGUGAUACGAGCUCCGACGAUCCUAAAUUCGAGCAAGCUUAAAUCACUAUAAAACAAAUGAAAAAAAGAAAGGUGUAAGCUACAAUUAGCUUAGUAAGUUACAUGUAAACAAUAAGUACUCAUUUAAUUAUUGACAUUUCUCUCAUACAACUAAUCAAACAUUUCUUAACAAUUUCAAUCACUUACACAUGCAUAAUCUUACCCAUUUCACUUGCACAUGCACUCAUACACUUAACAUUUAUCACAUCUGCUCAUUCUUUUAAAACGUACCUGCAUAUACACUUCAUUUCAUAUUCACUUUAAUUCAUUAUUAAUCCCGUUGAACACUCGAAAUAUACACAGAUACGUAGAGAUUUAGCACAUAAGUGCCACACUGAUAUGUAGCCGAAGCUACCACUAUUAUGUAGCCGAAGCUACCACUGAAAUGUAGCCGAAGCUACCACUGAUAUGUAGCCGAAGCUAUCACUGAUCAAUAACACUGGAAAUGUCCACGGGCCUGCUCACACAAGCUGUCAGGUGUCUGCAACACAUGCUAGAUCACCCAGCACCCAGGACUCACUGUAACAUUGUAACACUGAUCUCUAGCGAUAUGUCACUUGUAUCCACUUCUAUUCCUAAGUUCAACCGGGAAUUUACACUUAACACUUUAUUUUAAACACUUUAUCACUUAAAUAAUUCAUGAAUAAUUUUCCUUCCACAUUCAAUAUUAAUUCACAUAUAAAAUAUAAUUCACAAUUUAUAAAAAUAUAACUAUUAUUUACACGUAACUUACCUCGGAUGCAAAACGACUAUUUUUGUAAUUUAGUCGAUAACUUUCUCUUUUCCCCGAUCACUUCCACUAUUUCUUCUUUUUUGAUCUAUAUUAACACAAUUUAAUACAUUUUAUCAAUAUUCCAUUCAAAUACAAUUCAUACACAANNNNNNNNNNNNNNNNNNNNNNNNNNNNNNNNNNNNNNNNNNNNNNNNNNNNNNNNNNNNNNNNNNNNNNNNNNNNNNNNNNNNNNNNNNNNNNNNNNNNUUUUGUCCCAAAGCUCGUAAAAAUAAAAUUCACUAAAUUCUUAAAUUUAAAACUUCACUAAAUCAUAUUUCAUGCUCAUAACAGCCCUCAAUUUCACAAAAUCACAACCACACUUUACCAUCCUUCACAAUUUAGUCCUUUUUCAACAUUUUCAUCGAAAUUCAUCUAGUAAAACUUGUAAUUAACACUUCAAACAUUCAUUAUCUAACAUCACUAAUCAAUUUAAAAUUAUAUCAUGAAUGAGUCAAUUUUUAAAAUUUAACUUCAUUUAAAUUAAAUGGUAGAAACAUGAAAUUCAAGCAUCAAUAAGCAUAAAAAUACGAAAAUAAUUAAAAACGGGGCAAGAAAUCACUUACAAUUGAGCUUAGAAAGAUCAAGAACCCUAGCUAUGGUGACAUGAAUUUUUUUGGCAGCAAACUGUCUGAUUUUGAAGAAGAUGGACACUUAUUUUCUCUUUUUCUCAAUUUGGACAAAAAUGCCAUUGACCCAUUACUUAGAUAUUUUUUUCUAGAAUUACCCUUUUGUGUCCAUAUCACUAACUUAUGGUCUAAUUUCCACAUAAACACUUCCAAUUACAUGCAAUAAUUCAAUUAAGUCAUUUAAUCACUAAUUAGACACACUUUGCAUUUUUCUCAAUUUAGUCCUAAAAAUUCAAUCAGGCACUAAAUCAUUAAAAUUUCCUAUCCAUAUUUUCACACAAUAUUUCAAUCAAUCGGAAAUUAAUAAAACUUUAUAAAAUUAAACUAUUUCACUUUGGAUUUGUGGUUACAAAACUACUAUUCCGAUUAGGCCCUAUUUUGGGCUAUCACAAUUGAAGUAGUUUUGUAAAAGCGGAAUAAAAAUAUGAAGUUUUUUGCUAAGUCGUGACAUUGAUUAUGAAAGAUAUAAUAUUCUUUUGUGGUGGAUGCAAUAACCUUUAGAUAUACUAUUAAAUUGACAAUUCAAUAAAGAUUUAACUUGCGUCUAAUGGUUAUUGUUACAAUCUUUUAUGAAUCACUAUAUAGUAAAGUUUAGAUUAAAAUCUUUGAAGGAUUUAGGAUGCUAGAAGCAUAUUGAAAUUCUCGAGAAAUUGUUAAUUUAUAUGAAUUGAAAUAAUUUGAACAUAUGUGGUAAAUUUGACUUAGUGAAUAGUAGUUGAAGGAGGAUUAUAAAAUGAUCCAAAAUACCUAUUGUGUUUUUAUAAAAGAAUCAUUAUUAAAGUUUGUUAUGAUUAUUGUUGAAUCUCUUGAAGAGAUCAAAAUAUAUUUCCCCAAAUUUCCCUCACUCAUGACUUUUAAAAGAAUGGUAAUAUAAAUACUUAGUAAAUACAUUCAAAUAGUCAUUUGAAAAACUAGUAUUCAAGAUUGAAUACAUAGAAUAUGAGAAAAUAUGUGAUGUUUUCAUGAGGGAGAGUAAAUACGCGUUGCACUCUUUUUCCUUUAAUCGAGGUUUUCUCCCAUUGGGUUUUCUUGGUAAGGUUUUUAAUAAGUCAGCAUAUUAUGAGUAUUAUAGAUUGUGUACUCUUUUUCCUUCAUUAGGUUAAUUUUUAUCCUACAGAGUUUUUCCUAAUAAGGUUUUAACGAGGCACAUUAUCUACCAAUAGACAUCCAAGCGGGAGUGUUAUGAAUAUCUUAUUAAGUGGAUGUCCAUCAUGAUCAAGAUAAAAUUUCAUUGUACUUUAAAUUCUAAUAGUUAUUAGAAUUAGAUCUCUACUUCAUUUAUACUUCUUAUGCCUAUAACUCUAAUGAAGCAUUGUAAUAUCCCUUUUGAUUAAUAAAGUACAUUCUCUAUUACUUUCAUAUUUUCUUUGUUCUUUAUUCUUUCCAUCUCUUUUUAUUUUAUAACAAAUUUUUUAUUUUUUUGAAAAUUUAACUAAAUUUGUUAUUAUUAUUUUCAAUUUAUAUGUUAUUUGUUAUUAUUAUUUUCAAUUUAUAUAUAUUUUGGAGUUUUAUAAUUUUAUAUUUCUGUUUAACAAAAUUUUUUUAAAACUUUAAGUUUUUUUAAAUUUUUUUUAAGAAUGAUUGGAGAUGAAUCUAUGUGUCGUCCUCUUAUUUCUCCACGUAUCAGUCCCAUGCUUGUCCACAUCAAUAAAUUAUUUAAAAAAUAAAUUGUGUUAGUGUAGGGACCAAUCUAUGUAACAUAACCAAUAUGAUUAAAAAAUUAUCAAAUUCAAGGAUUAAUCUAUAUAUUAAGCUAAAAUAAAAAGAUUGAACUAUUUUGGAAUAGAAAUGAGAUUAAAAUAAGUUUUGUAAGUGAGUUAAUCCGAUGCAUUGACAUAGUCCUGAUUUGGUUAACAACAUGAGAAACUAAAAACGGUGAACAACAUUUACUGGCUGUUAAAAUGACAAAAUGGAAAGAUUUGGGGUUAAAAGACACACAAUUACUGGCUGUCUAUUCAAUUUACUGUGUGCGAGCUGUAGCAGGUAGGGUGUAAUUAAUGGCGCCCAGCUAGCACACUCAGUGUUGGAAUUUUUUCAUGAUAAAAUUGAGAAGAGUAAAAUAGUAAAAAAGAAAAGGGGUCAGCACUUUUACCACAUUCCAUUUGGCACUUUGGCUGAAAUUGGUAGCCAGCCAGGCUCGUGGACUGAUUUAAAAAAAGAGCGAUGAGAACACAUGGCCGUCACCACCGUCGAUUUUCCAAAAGAUCAUUGUCACAUCAGAAG
rnacentral:lncRNA from 1 species